GCCACCCCUCGGCGGUAGGCUGCACCGUAGCAGACUUGUUUGCCGCCCUUUGUGAGCUGUUUUUGAAGCGUUUCCUUCGCCCAGCAGCAGGGCUGGGAAUGAGGGCAGGUGGUCUGUCAUAUAUCUAUAAUAGUUUUUAGGUGGAAGAAACUGAGUCACGGAAGAGGCCUCGGAGGGAGUUUUCGUUCUUAUCUCCAUUCUACAGAUGAGGAAGUAGGGACCCAGAGAGGCAAGGUGAUCUGACUCCCAGUCCAGUGCUCUUCCUACCACAUCCUGCUAGGUGAUAACUAGACAUAGGGUCUCACUUCGUCACCCAGGCAUGAUCACAAGACUCUGU
rnacentral:lncRNA from 1 species